GAUGAACGCUGGCGGCGUGCCUAAUACAUGCAAGUCGAGCGAACGGACGAGAAUCUUGCUUUUCUGAUGUUAGCGGCGGACGGGUGAGUAACACGUGGAUAACCUACCUCUAAGACUUGGAUAACUUCGGGAAACCGGAGCUAAUAACGGAUCAUAUUUUGACCCGCAUGGUUCAAAAGUGAAAUACUGUCUUGCUGUCACUUAUAGAUGGAUCCGCGCUGCAUUAGCUAGUUGGUAAGGUAACGGCUUACCAAGUCAACGAUGCAUAGCCGACCUGAGAGAGUGAUAGGCGACACUGGAGCUGGGACACGGUCCAGACUCCUGAGAGAGGCAGCAGUAGGGAAUGUGACGCAAUGGGCGAAAACCUGACGGAGCAAGGCCGCGUGAGUGAUGAAGGUCUUCGGAUCGUAAAACUCUGUUAUUAGGGAAGAACAUAUGUGUAAGGAAAUGAGCACAUAUUGACGGUACCUAAUCAAAAAGCCACGGCUAACUACGUG
rnacentral:rRNA from 1 species